rnacentral:rRNA from 1 species
AACGAACGCUGGCGGCAUGCCUAACACAUGCGAGUCGAACGAGACCUUCGGGUCUAGUGGCGCACGGGUGCGUAACGCGUGGGAACCUGCCCUUAGGUUCGGAAUAACUCCCCGAAAGGGGUGCUAAUACCGGAUAAUGUCUUCGGACUAAAGAUUUAUCGCCUUUGGAUGGGCCCGCGUUGGAUUAGCUAGUUGGUAGGGUAAAAGCCUACCAAGGCGACGAUCCAUAGCUGGUCUGAGAGGAUGAUCAGCCACACUGGGACUGAGACACGGCCCAGACUCCUACGGGAGGCAGCAGUGGGGAAUAUUGGACAAUGGGCGAAAGCCUGAUCCAGCAAUGCCGCGUGAGUGAUGAAGGCCUUAGGGUUGUAAAGCUCUUUUACCCGGGAUGAUAAUGACAGUACCGGGAGAAUAAGCUCCGGCUAACUCCGUG